AUUGAACGCUGGCGGCAGGCCUAACACAUGCAAGUCGAACGAGUGGCGGACGGGUGAGUAAUGUCUGGGAAACUGCCUGAUGGAGGGGGAUAACUACUGGAAACGGUAGCUAAUACCGCAUACCAUCGGAUGUUCCCAUAUGGGAUUAGCUAGUAGGUGGGGUAAAGGCUCACCUAGGCGACGAUCCCGAGCUGGUCUGAGAGGAUGACCAGCGACACUGGCAAUGUGACACGGUCCAGACUCCUACGGGAGGCAGCAGGGGGGAAUAUUGCACAAUGGGCGCAAGCCUGAAACAGCCGUGCCGCGUGUAUGAAGAAGGCCUUCGGGUUGUAAAGUACUUUCAGCUGGUAGGCGUUACCCGGAGAAGAAGCACCGGCUAACUACGUGCCAGCAGCCGCGGUAAUAC
rnacentral:rRNA from 1 species